AUGGGGCAGUUAUGGGGCGGCUGUGGGGUACAGGUGUGUCUAUGGGGCAGUUAUGGGGUGGCUAUGGGGUGUGAAGUGUGGUUAUGGGGCGGCUAUGGGGCACAGAGGCGGUUCUGGGGUGGGUGUGGGGCAGCUGUGGGUCACAGGGGCAGUUGUGGGUCAGCUGUGGGGUACAGGGGUGGCUAUGGGGCAGUUAUGGGGCAGCUGUGGGAUACAGGGGUGGCUAUGGGGCAGCUGUGGGGCAUAGGGGCAGUUAUGGGGCAGUUAUGGGGCGGCUAUGGGGUGUGAAGCGUGGUUAUGGGGCAGCUAUGGGGCACAGAGGCGGUUCUGGGGUGAGUGUGGGGCAGCCGUGGGUCACAGGGGCAAUUAUGGGGCAGCUGUGGGGCACAGGAGUGGCUAUGGGGCAGUUAUGGGGUGGCUAUGGGGUGUGAAGUGUGGUUAUGGGGCAGCUAUGGGGCACAGAGGCGGUUCUGGGGUGAGUGUGGGGCAGCCGUGGGUCACAGGGGCAGUUAUGGGGUGGGUGUGGGGUACAGGAGUGGCUAUGGGGCAGCUGUGGGGCACAGGGGUGGCUAUGGGGCAGUUAUGGGGUGGCUAUGGGGUGUGAAGUGUGGUUAUGGGGCAGCUAUGGGGCACGUGGAUGACUUAUGGUGCGACUGUGGGACAUAGGGGCGGCUAUGGGGCGGCUAUGGGGCACAGAGGCGGUUCUGGGGCGGCUGUGGGGCAGCUGUGGGUCACAGGGGCAGUUGUGGGUCAGCUGUGGGGUACAGGGGUGGCUGUGGGGCAGUUAUGGGGCAGCUGUGGGGCAUAGGGGCAGUUAUGGGGCAGUUAUGGGGUGGCUAUGGGGUGUGAAGUGUGGUUCUGGGGUGGGUGUGGAGCAGCCGUGGGUCACAGGGGCAGUUAUGGGGCGGGUGUGGGGCACAGGAGUGGCUAUGGGGCAGUUAUGGGGUGGGUGUGGGGUACAGGGGUGGCUAUGGGGCAGUUAUGGGGCGGCUGUGGGGUACAGGUGUG
rnacentral:lncRNA from 1 species